AUAACAAGGUUUCCUUCAAUGUAGGUGAACCUGCAGAAGGAUCAUU
rnacentral:rRNA from 1 species